UACGUAGGGACCAAGCGUUGUUCGGAUUUACUGGGCGUAAAGGGCGCGUAGGCGGCAAUUCAAGUCAGCUGUGAAAUCUCUGGGCUUAACUCGGAACGGUCAGCUGAUACUGCUUUGCUAGAGUACAGAAGGGGCAAUCGGAAUUCUUGGUGUAGCGGUGAAAUGCGUAGAUAUCAAGAGGAACACCUGAGGUGAAGACGGGUUGCUGGGCUGAUACUGACGCUGAGGCGCGAAAGCUAGGGUAGCAAACGGG
rnacentral:rRNA from 1 species